rnacentral:rRNA from 1 species
AGCUAGAUGGUGAGGUAAAGGCUUACCAUGGCGACGAUCAGCAGCUGGUCUGAGAGGAUGAGCAGCCACACUGGGACUGAGACACGGCCCAGACUCCUACGGGAGGCAGCAGUGGGGAAUUUUCCGCAAUGGGCGCAAGCCUGACGGAGCAAUACCGCGUGAGGGAGGAAGGCUCUUGGGUUGUAAACCUCAAAACUUAGGGAAGAAGAAAGUGACGGUACCUAAUGUAAGCAUCGGCUAACUCCGUGCCAGCAGCCGCGGUAAUACGGAGGAUGCAAGCGUUAUCCGGAAUCAUUGGGCGUAAAGAGUCCGUAGGUGGCAAUUCAAGUCUGCUGUCAAAGACCGAAGCUCAACUUCGGGCCGGCGGUGGAAACUGAAAAGCUAGAGUAUAGUAGGGGUAGAGGGAAUUCCUAGUGUAGCGGUGAAAUGCGUAGAGAUUAGGAAGAACACCAGUGGCGAAGGCGCUCUACUGGGCAUAUACUGACACUGAGGGACGAAAGCUAGGGUAGCGAAAGGGAUUAGAUACCCCUGUAGUCCUAGCGGUAAACGAUGGAUACUAGGUGUUGUCUGUAUCGACCAGACAGUGCCGAAGCAAACGCGUUAAGUAUCCCGCCUGGGGAGUACGCACGCAAGUGUGAAGCUCAAAGGAAUUGACGGGGACCCGCACAAGCGGAGGAGUAUGUGGUUUAAUUCGAUGCAACGCGAAGAACCUUACCAAGGCUUGACAUCCUGCGAAUGGAGAGGAAACUCACCAGUGCCUUCGGGAACGCAGAGACAGGUGGUGCAUGGCUGUCGUCAGCUCGUGUCGUGAGAUGUUGGGUUAAGUCCCGCAACGAGCGCAACCCUCGUCCUUAGUUGCCAGCAUUCAGUUGGGGACUCUAGGGAGACCGCCGGGGAGAACUCGGAGGAAGGUGGGGAUGACGUCAAGUCAGCAUGCCCCUUACGUCUUGGGCUACACACGUACUACAAUGGUGGAGACAAAGGGAAGCGAAGCCGCGAGGUGAAGCGAAUCCCAGCAAACUCUGCCCCAGUUCAGAUUGCAGGCUGAAACUCGCCUGCAUGAAGGAGGAAUCGCUAGUAAUCGCAGGUCAGCAUACUGCGGUGAAUCCGUUCCCGGGUCUUGUACACACCGCCCGUCACACCAUGGAAGUUGGUCACGCCCGAAGUCGUUACUCCAACCCUUUAUGGGAGGAGGAUGCCGAAGGUGGGACUAGUGACUGGGGUGAAGUCGUAACAAGGUAGCCGUACCGGGUGUGGCUG